UCUGUACUCCAUCCGUCUCAUAAUUCUUGUCGAAAUAUUACAUGUAUUUAGACGCUUUUUAUGAAUAGAUGCAUUCACUUUUGGACAAAUUUGAGACAAGAAUUAUGGGACGGAGAGAGUAUUAU
rnacentral:pre_miRNA from 1 species